CCUACGGGAGGCAGCAGUGAGGAAUAUUGGUCAAUGGACGCAAGUCUGAACCAGCCAUGCCGCGUGCAGGAAGACGGCUCUAUGAGUUGUAAACUGCUUUUGUACGAGGGUAAACGCAGAUACGCGUAUCUGUCUGAAAGUCUCGUACGAAUAAGGAUCGGCUAACUCCGUGCCAGCAGCCGCGGUAAUACGGAGGAUUCAAGCGUUAUCCGGAUUUAUUGGGUGUAAAGGGUGCGUAGGCGGUCGGAUAAGUUAGAGGUGAAAUCCCGAGGCUCAACUUCGGAAUUGCCUCUGAUACUGUUCGGCUAGAGAGUAGUUGCGGUAGGCGGAAUGUAUGGUGUAGCGGUGAAAUGCUUAGAGAUCAUACAGAACACCGAUGGCGAAGGCAGCUUACCAAGCUACUUCUGACGUUGAGGCACGAAAGCGUGGGUAGCAAACAGGAUUAGAUACCCGGGUAGUC
rnacentral:rRNA from 1 species